rnacentral:rRNA from 1 species
AAUGGGGGCAACCCUGAUCCAGCGACGCCGCGUGUGUGAAGAAGGCCUGCGGGUUGUAAAGCACUUUUAGUGGGGAUGAAAAGCCAAGGGCCAAUACCCUUUGGUCUUGACCUAACCCAAAGAAAAAGCACCGGCUAACUCUGUGCCAGCAGCCGCGGUAAUACAGAGGGUGCAAGCGUUAAUCGGAAUUACUGGGCGUAAAGCGUGCGUAGUCGGUUAUUUAAGUCGGAUGUGAAAUCCCCGGGCUCAACCUGGGAAUUGCAUUCGAUACUGGAUAGCUAGAGUUCGGCAGAGGGAAGCGGAAUUUCGGGUGUAGCGGUGAAAUGCGUAGAUAUCCGAAGGAACAUCAGUGGCGAAAGCGGCUUCCUGGACCAGAACUGACGAUCAGGCACGAAAGCGUGGGGAGCAAA